CCUUAGUAACGGCGAGUGAAGCGGCAACAGCUCAAUUUGAAAUCUGGCCUCGGCCCGAGUUGUAAUUUGCAGAGGAUGCUUCUGGCAACGUGCCUUCCGAGUCCCCUGGAACGGGGCGCCGGAGAGGGUGAGAGCCCCGUACGGUUGGACGCCGCGCCUAUGUGAAGCUCCUUCGACGAGUCGAGUAGUUUGGGAAUGCUGCUCUAAGCGGGAGGUAAAUUCCUUCUAAAGCUAAAUACCGGCCAGAGACCGAUAGCGCACAAGUAGAGUGAUCGAAAGAUGAAAAGCACUUUGGAAAGAGGGUUAAAAGUACGUGAAAUUGCUGAAAGGGAAGCGCCUGCGACCAGACUCGCGCCGGGCGGAAUCAUCCAGCGUUCUCGCUGGUGCACUUCGCCCGGCCCGGGCCAGCAUCGGUUCUGACGGGGGGACAAAAGCCCGGGAAACGUAGCUCCCUCCGGGGAGUGUUAUAGUCCCUCGCCUAAUACCCCCGCCGGGACCGAGGACCGCGCGUUUACGCAAGGAUGCUGGCAUAAUGGUCGUCGGCGACCCGUCUUGAAACACGGACCAAGGAGUCGGACAUUUGUGCGAGUGUUUUGGGUGGAAAACCCUCACGCGUAAAUGAAAGUGAACUUAGGUGGGAGCCUCGGCGCACCAUCGACCGAUCCUGAAGUUUUCGGAUGGAUUUGAGUAGGAGCAUAACUGUUCGGACCCGAAAGAUGGUGAACUAUGCCUGUGUAGGGUGAAGCCAGAGGAAACUCUGGUGGAGGCUCGCAGCGGUU
rnacentral:rRNA from 2 species